CGACAUUGGCGACAGCGGGUUCUCGUCCGAUCUGUUGAUCUGCCUGUCGGAACCGAACGAACGCAAAGUUGAAAAACUUUUGUUCAGAAGCAGAUCUUUUCCAACGCAGAGGAUUCGCUCGACCGAAAAGAUGAUUGAAACGAUCUAGCAGGAACUUACGAACGGCUGAACACGUUCCGAAAACCAACAAUCGGAUCAGACAAUCAACACUUCGAAUAUUCCGGGGUUUACGUGCGCUGAAGGCUGCGGAAUGGUGACGCCAAGAUUAGGCAGGACCUGUCAACGAUUAUGGCGGGAACUUUUCUACAUCGGUUUCUUCGUAAUGGAAAAAUACCUCAACUGAGAUGUCCUCUCUAUCAUAUGGAUUUCAU